UUUAUACAAACUACUCACCUCUAACUGGUCGUAGACUGGUCAAAAAUGCCUUUUCCCUUCGAAUCUCCCUGUACAAGCGUUGAAUCUAUUCAAAACCACAACGAAUACGUUAUUAUAGGCUAAAUAAAUAUAACCCCAAUCGAAAUAAUUUGAAAAACGCUAAAAAUCACGAAGUUAAUAAAACCCGAGCCCCGAACCCACUUCUCGAAAAAUUAUGAAAAUUACAACUUUGGAUUCCUCGGCUCUCCACGAUUCCGUACAUAUAAAGUUCACCAAAAAAAAAGGAGUUCGUUUGACCCUUCAAAUUCCCAAAAUUCGUUUCUAAAAACUAAGCCCUAGUUCUUAACAAUUUCUACACAAUUUCAUGGAAUUAAGGGUUGAUUCUUCAUAAAAUGAUGUUUUUAAGUCAAGAGACUUACUCCAAUCGAUACCCGCUGAAAACACACUUCAAAUUUCUCAAAUAGCUCCUUUGGUUGCUUAAAAUAGUUUUUUUAAGUCAAGAGACUUACCUUCAAUCGAUACCCGCUGAAAAAACACUUCAAAUCGCUCAAAUAGCUCCUUUGGUUACUUAAAAAUGGAGGAAAUUAUGUCUGAGUUGCGGGUGAAACAUUCUGUCCGCCUAGUGAUUUACUCUAUGCGAUCGCAUCCCUACUCCUAUGAUCGCAUAGACCAAAUUCUGACCCUCCAAUUUCCUCUUACGCGAUCGUAUAAUUCCCCAUGCGAUCGCAUAUCACUGAGCCCUACAACUACGUGAUCGCAUUGACCUAUAUGCAACUGCACUACACACAGUCCUGCACCUAUGCGAUCGCAUCACCCCUUACGCGAUCGCAUAGACCAAAUUUUGAGCCCCCUUUCUUUCCUCUAUGAGAUCGCAAUUAUGGUCAUGCGAUCGCAUAAAACAAACGUGUGCUGCAAUUUUCUGCUGCACUUUUAAACUUCAAAAAUUCCUGUUAGCCAUCCGAAAUCACCCCGAGGCCCUCGAGACCUCAACCAAAAGCACAGAUAUGUUCCAUUUCUUCAUUGAAACUUGCUCGUAACAUAAACACACUAUCAUAAACAUCAAAAUCAUCC
rnacentral:lncRNA from 1 species